GACGAACGCUGGCGGCGUGCUUAACACAUGCAAGUCGAACGAGUGGCGAACGGGUGAGUAACACGUGGGUGAUCUGCCUUGCACUUCGGGAUAAGCUUGGGAAACUGGGUCUAAUACCGGAUAGUGCAAGAUGAGCUCGCGGCCUAUCAGCUUGUGGGUGAGGUAAUGGUCACCAAGGCUCGAUCCGUAACUGGUCUGAGAGGAUGAUCAGUCACACGGGAACUGAGACACGGUCCAGAGUCCUACGGGAGGCAGCAGUGGGGAAUAGUGGACAAUGGGCGAAAGCCUGAUCCAGCCAUGCCGCGUGGGGGAUGAAGGCCUUCGGGUUGUAAACUCCUUUCGACAGGGACGCGGUACCUGUAUAAGAAGCAACGGCUAACUACGUGCCAGCAGCGGCGGUAAUAC
rnacentral:rRNA from 1 species